rnacentral:rRNA from 1 species
GACGAACGCUGGCGGCGUGCUUAACACAUGCAAGUCGAACGGAAAGGCCCUGCUUUUGUGGGGUGCUCGAGUGGCGAACGGGUGAGUAACACGUGAGUAACCUGCCCUUGACUUUGGGAUAACUUCAUGAAACUGGGGCUAAUACCGGAUAGGAUCUACUGCUGCAUGGUGGGGGUUGGUAAGUUUCGGUGGUUGGGGAUGGACUCGCGGCUUAUCAGCUUGUUGGUGGGGUAGUGGCAUACCAAGGCUUUGACGGGUAGCCGACCUGAGAGGGUGACCGGCCACAUUGGGACUGAGAUACGGCACAGACUCCUACGGGAGGCAGCAGUGGGGAAUAUUGCACAAUGGGCGGAAGCCUGAUGCAGCAACGCCGCGUGCGGGAUGACGGCCUUCGGGUUGUAAACCGCUUUCGCCUGUGACGAAGCGUGAGUGACGGUAAUGGGUAAAGAAGCACCGGCUAACUACGUG